AUGCAUGGACUGCGAGCACGCUCUGGAGAGAAAUUGCGCACUACCGGAUAUCGUGACUUGCCAGCACUUGAUUCUGGAAGUUUUGGGCAGAACCAUCAGCAAGGACCUAGAGUAGCAAGCCUGGGUGUCGGGUCUUCAUCAGCUCAGCAUGCACCUGCCGCAACAGUUAGCACCACUUCUACCAUGGCCAGGAUUGCUGAUGUGAUGAUGUACCAUACAAUGAAGGAAGAGCUUAUUAGGCGUCAAGAAGCAACCAAAUUCUAG
rnacentral:rRNA from 1 species